rnacentral:rRNA from 1 species
GGGUUGUGAGGUUAAGCGACUAAGCGUACACGGUGGAUGCCCUGGCAGUCAGAGGCGAUGAAGGACGUGCUAAUCUGCGAUAAGCGUCGGUAAGGUGAUAUGAACCGUUAUAACCGGCGAUUUCCGAAUGGGGAAACCCAGUGUGUUUCGACACACUAUCAUUAACUGAAUCCAUAGGUUAAUGAGGCGAACCGGGGGAACUGAAACAUCUAAGUACCCCGAGGAAAAGAAAUCAACCGAGAUUCCCCCAGUAGCGGCGAGCGAACGGGGAGCAGCCCA